GAUGAAGAACGCAGCGAAAUGCGAUACGUAAUGUGAAUUGCAGAAUUCAGUGAAUCAUCGAAUCUUUGAACGCAUAUUGCGCUCUCUGGUAUUCCGGAGAGCAUGCUUGUUUGAGUAUCAGUAAACACCUCAACUUCCAUAUCUUUUUUGAAAUGGGAGUUGGACUUGAGUGAUCCCAACGCUUUUCCUCACCGAAAAGUGGCGGGUUACUUGAAAUGCAGGUGCAGCUGGCCUUUUCUCUGAGCUAUAAGCAUAUCUAUUUAGUCUGCCUAAAAAACAGAUUAUUACCUUUGCUGCAGCUAACAUAAAGGAGAUUAGUUCUUGUGCUGACUGAUGCAGGAUUCACAAAGACGGCUUCGGCCGACUUUGUAAACUCGAUCUCAAAUCAAGUAAGACUACCCGCUGAACUUAAGCAUAUCAAUAAGCGGAGGA
rnacentral:misc_RNA from 1 species